rnacentral:rRNA from 1 species
CCAGACUCCUACGGGAGGCAGCAGUGAGGAAUAUUGGUCAAUGGCCGAGAGGCUGAACCAGCCAAGUCGCGUGAGGGAUGGCGGCCCUACGGGUUGUAAACCUCUUUUGUCGGGGAGCAAAGAGAGUCACGUGUGGCUCAUUGAGAGUACCCGAAGAAAAAGCAUCGGCUAACUCCGUGCCAGCAGCCGCGGUAAUACGGAGGAUGCGAGCGUUAUCCGGAUUUAUUGGGUUUAAAGGGUGCGCAGGCGGAAUGUUAAGUCAGCGGUAAAAUUUCGGGGCUCAACCCCGUCGUGCCGUUGAAACUGGCGUUCUUGAGUGAGCGAGAAGAAGGCGGAAUGCGUGGUGUAGCGGUGAAAUGCAUAGAUAUCACGCAGAACCCCGAUUGCGAAGGCAGCCUUCCGGCGCCCUACUGACGCUGAGGCACGAAAGUGCGGGGAUCGAACAGGAUUAGAUACCCCCGUA